CAGUUAGCUCAAGAUGGGCUGGUUGCAAGGUUGUUACACGAGAUCGGGGAGACUGUUAAAGUUCUGAUUGACCCGUACUUCAGAAGUCACUCUGUUCUCGACUUUGCUUACACACACUUGGAGUGCCGCUCCCAUCCCAGGGACACGUUCCUCUAAUAGGAACAGUCAUUCCCACAUAAACACACAUUAUUAACAGGGAUAAAAUCUUUCUUGGUGCAUAUAUGAUUUUAUGUAUAUGAAGGUCAUCAGGAGGGGCGUCCGGAUCUUUCUCAGUUCAUGUGGAUCACUGCAUCCUGGAGCCAGAAACCAGGCAGAAGAACCAGAGAAGCACCUGCUUACACUCAUCGAGAUCUCAGGAACGUGAGGAAGCUGAAGAAUUAUGGGCUGCAGAUGGGAAAAGUGUAAUAAAAGAAAAGAAGGGUGAGGGUGCUUUAAAAUCUGCCCGCAGUGGAAGAAGCCAAGGCAAAGAGAGGAGCAAAGACAGAGAAAGAGUGACAAGCAGGCGGGAUGAACUGUAAGAAAGACAGAUUAAUGAGCCAAUCAGCAAAGAGACAUCCAUGGACAUCAAAUGCCUCACUUUCUCUUCAUGCACACUGGUUUAUUUUUUAUCUCUGACUGUUUCACAGGUUUUUUCUCUAGUGUGAGAGUGUGUCCAUUUGUUUGCGCCUUUGUUUCAGUAUGUCUGCUUUGAUUUGGGUUAUAUAUAGUUUUUACAAUAAAAGAAUAAAGUGGUGAAUGGCUAAUUUUGUAACUCAAGGAGUAUUUAAAUUUUACUUUGUAAUUAUUAUUAUUUUACGGUGGAGUUUUAAUGCCACAUAAAUUAAAAAUAACGUAGCAAUAACGGGAAUUAAGUUAUAAUAAUUUAAAAGCAAAAGCUCACCGAAAGAAAUUCUGGUGGCCUGGCAAUUGAUUUGAAUGUGGGAUUAUUAUCAGAAAAAGACAACAACAUAUCACAACUUAAAGUGUUGGAGCCCACUUCAAACAUUUAGAAUGUUUUAUUCCUGUUUUUAAUUAAAUACAUUAGAAGAAUGAAAGGUUGGAUGUUUUUUGCUGAGUAAGUGGCAGAAUUUUCAGAUUACCUCACAUUAUUCACUCAAUAUACUGGCCUUCUCUGCUGAAAAAAAAAAUAAA
rnacentral:lncRNA from 1 species